rnacentral:rRNA from 1 species
GACGAACGCUGGCGGCGUGCUUAACACAUGCAAGUCGAACGGGAAGACCCUGCUUUGGGGGGGUGCUCGAGUGGCGAACGGGGGAGUAAGACGUUAGUAACCUGCCCGCUACUGUGUGAUAACUUGAGGAAACUGGGGCUAAGACCGGAUAGGAGCUCGUGCUGCGGUGGGGGGGGGGGAAAGUUUCGGCGGUUGGGGAUGGACUCGCGGCUUAUGAGCUUGUUGGUGGGGUAGUGGCUUACCAAGGCUUUGACGGGUAGCCGGCCUGAGAGGGUGACCGGCCACAUUGGGACUGAGAUACGGCCGAGAGCACUACGGGGGGCAGCAGUGGGGAAUAUUGCAUAACGGGGGGAAGCCGGAUGAAGCACCGCCGCGUGCGGGAUGUCGGCCUUCGGGUUGUAAGGCGAUUUCGCCUGUGUCGAAGCGUGAGUGAGGGGAAUGGGUAAGGAAGCACCGGCUAAUUCGGU